CACGAUAAUUCUUCCCCCACGCAGCCACGUAUUCACCUCUCCUUCUUCCUCGGCUUUCUCUUCCCUUCCUCGCAGCCACGCAUUCAGUCAAUGCCCUUCUUCCCCACCUCUCCCCAACACCAGCGAUGGAUCCAGCCCCUUUCCCCGCCCCACCCCCAUGCAGCCUCUCUCCACAUCCUCACCUUACCUUUGCUCGUUCCCAUGACGGUAUCAGGCUCUGCGCUGCUAGAGCCCCCCCUGCUCUAAGGUCUAGCAUGGGGACAUGGAUGGGAAGAGGGCGUGGAGGGGAUGGUCUGUGCUACAGAGCUGCGCUCCCUUCCACAUCGCAGCUAGGCGCGCCCCCAUCGACACUCGUGCUGAGGUGUUCCUGGCUCUCCAUCGUCAAACACAAAGGCGGUGGGGAAAUUACACGGGAUAAGCUGCUCGUGAAGGACGGCAUCGACCACAUGCUCAUCUUGCACGACUUCUUCUUCGACCUUUCUCUCUGUACCAAUGUCGUACAAUGCGAAGACGAGGAAUUGAGGAACAUGACCUUAAGGGCCUUUCGAUGAUAUACAGAACGAAUGCGAGGAAUUGAAGAAGUGAGAAAGAUGACCUUCAGUGGUCUUUCGAUGACAUACAAUGCUAAGACGUGGAAUUGGGAAAUUGAGGAACCUGAAUUUCAGUGGUUGUUCGACAACAUACAAGGCGAAGGCGAGGAAUUGCGGAAGAUGACCUUCAGUGGUAUUGGCGGCGGUAUGACGGGAAGACAUGGAUAUUCUAGUCCUUUCUCCAUGUGUGUUCCGACAGGUGAUCUAAGUGUGCAUGCUGGAGGAGGCGUUCAAACCUAUACCUAAAUUUGGAAUCAACGCAUGCAUGCACCUAUUUUAGUGGAGAGGAAAAUUCGUCCGGAUCCAUUGCUAAUAAUCCGAACAGUAGGACAUUAGCACAGUCCAUAUAUAUAUAUUAAGCGAGGAUCAUGCGGAGCUUAUCUGUGCUGCAGAUACAGCGGCCCAUUUUACACGCGCUAUCUUUUUAAGUUAUUUGUAAAAAUUAAGCAAUAUAAUUAUAUUCAGAUAUUAGUGUGUAAAACUAUUAUACAUACAAAA